CUCACUGCAGCUUGCAGCACCACCACCGCGUCUAGGCUUCCUCCUGCCCGGGUUGGAUCAUGCUGACGGGGGCAUGGGCGAGGGUGUGCACCCGGGAUCCCUCACUGGGGCUGGGGGCUUUUUUUUUUUCUUUUUUUUUUAUAAAGGGAGGAUGGAGGACUCUGUUGCUUGGUGGUGAAGAAAAGAUGCACAAGAAGCUUUGCCCACCCCUUACCAAAAAAAAAAGGAUGUUGGUUAAUCCGGAAUGUGAUCAGAUGUGACUUUUGGGGCGGCGGCAGUGGCUGGACAUGGAAGUUGGAACUUGCAGAUGACAUCUUCUGCAGGGAGCCAGACCAGCAGGCUGUAAGGCUCCUUGUGGAUGCUGCUGUAUGCCACCUGCAUGCAUGCCUGGGAUGGCUGGGUUAUGUAAUGAUGUCAUACUUCAUGGUGCUCGUCAUCAGAUACCGGAGAACCUUCUAAAGCCUCCUAUGGUCCGACACUUCGAGCCUCAACAAGGGUUUUCAAGAGAAAAAGUGCACAAGAAGAGAAGUCCAACAACAACAACAACAACACACACGUUGUCAGUAGCUGUUUAAAUAACAGUGGCUAACUUUUUUUUUUUACACUUCCAACAUUUAGAAGACUGCUCAAACGUGAAACGGUUGUAGUCAUGACACGUUUUAUUGAUUUGAUGUUUUCUUUUCAUUGGUUAUGUUAUUUUUGUGACAAGUAAGAACGUGAAAGUAAGCAAAAUGGUGAGGUGCAUUUAUCACGUGACCGACUUUUACACCAACCCUCGUCAUUACUGUUUUAUUUACCGCUCACUAAUAACACUGUUUAACUUCUUUUUACACUUAUGUGACAAUAUGGAUGUUUUUAUGUUUUAUCAUUAAUAAUGAUUAACUUAUUUUUACAAUAUGGAUGUUUUUAUGUUUUAUUAAUUACAAUGUAUGAAUGUUCUGGUGUUAUUAUUAACACUGUUUAACUUGUGUAACAAUAUGAAUGUAUUAUGCUUAAUGAUUAACAAUGUUUAACUUAUUUUUACACUUGUGUGACAAUAUGAA